GGGAGAAACCGACUGGGAGAAGCAGAGAAAAAAAUAAGACAAAAAUGAACGAGAAAAAGGAAAGACUGAAGGAGAAGAAGAAGAAAUGUGUGUUGGCUUUUGAAGAUUGAGGUGGUGACGUGAAAGCUUAGAAUGACUCGUCAAUUUAGCCAGAUUUCUAUCUAUGGAUCUAUAGUAUUGGUCCUUGAUAGCUUGAGGAGCCUGGUGAUUUCAGAGUUAGAGUCACACGACAUGUUGAAGGAUAUGAGUCAAUUUGAUUAAACCAAGAAGUAAGAAUGGAACUUCAUGGAAAGUAUGGCUAGCUGUGAAGCUCUUGCUGGAUUUCGAAGUUUGAUGUACAUGGAUGACGACUUCUAGGGUUAUCUUGUGGGCUAUUGUUUUAGUCUUAUAAUCUACUGUAUUAUAUUUAGAGAAUUUUGUACUAUAUAUAUGACUUUUGAAAUGGCAUGAUAGAUACUUUUGGAACCCUCAAAAUAAAUAUGUUGGAAUUUAGUUAUA